rnacentral:tRNA from 2 species
AUCUUUCUAGUAUCUAAAAAGUAUAUGUGACUUCCAAUCACCUGGUCUUGGUUAAAAUCCAAGGAAAGAUA